AACGAACGCUGGCGGCAUGCCUAACACAUGCAAGUCGAACGAGACCUUCGGGUCUAGUGGCGCACGGGUGCGUAACGCGUGGGAACCUGCCCUUAGGUUCGGAAUAACUCCCCGAAAGGGGUGCUAAUACCGGAUAAUGUCUUCGGACCAAAGAUUUAUCGCCUUUGGAUGGGCCCGCGUUGGAUUAGCUAGUUGGUAGGGUAAAAGCCUACCAAGGCGACGAUCCAUAGCUGGUCUGAGAGGAUGAUCAGCCACACUGGGACUGAGACACGGCCCAGACUCCUACGGGAGGCAGCAGUGGGGAAUAUUGGACAAUGGGCGAAAGCCUGAUCCAGCAAUGCCGCGUGAGUGAUGAAGGCCUUAGGGUUGUAAAGCUCUUUUACCCGGGAUGAUAAUGACAGUACCGGGAGAAUAAGCUCCGGCAAACUCCGUG
rnacentral:rRNA from 1 species